GGAGGGAUGGGUGAGUGGCUGAAACCAACCGUUUGCUAAAUGGUCGUGGGUCUAAAAAAUCCACCGAGAGUUCGAAUCUCUCUCCCUCCG
rnacentral:tRNA from 1 species